GUGCGUGCCACAGGUUGACUUUAAUAGUUUGAACGACUCCCGCUCCCACUUAGUUUUUGAGGUUUAUCGUUCAGAAAGAUCUGCUUGGCUGAAAUCUUCUGCUCACUGCCAGCUGAAACUGCUGCCUUUCAUUCUACGGAUAUGUGGAGAUCUCCAGCAGGUGGUGUGUGCUGUACUGAGAGGCUAAUACAAUUACAUCUAAUGCAGUCAAGCUUCUCUCCAAGUGCAAGCACAUGACACGUUUUCCAUCAGCAGGGCGAUUAGAGAGGCAGAAUUUAAGAUGUUUCUGAUUUCAGCUUCUUUCCUUGCUGCUACCUGCUUUGCAAACAUGACACCAACAGGUCAGGACAAAUGCAUCAGUCUUCAGAAUCCUGCGCUCAUCAUUUUAGCCAAUAUGCAGUUGUCCUGGUGCCAGCACUGCAAAACAGGACAAGUAAUUUAAUUUGCCAUCACCACCAACCUUGAAAAAAGGAAUGUAGGCUAGCAGAAUCCCAAUUGGGAGGUAUAAAAAAAAAAUUUGCUAGCGACUGAGGAAGAGGUUAGGUGGAUCUGCAUGUUGUAUCACAUCCAGGUGUCUCACCUCUGAAGAUGUGGAUUUGCUCUUUAGGUUUACGAGAAUAAAUUGGAAAAUAAAAUCCUUUGCUAAAGUA